rnacentral:misc_RNA from 1 species
UGGAAGUAAAAGUCGUAACAAGGUUUCCGUAGGUGAACCUGCGGAAGGAUCAUUAACGCGCAGGCCGGAGGCUGGCCCCCCACGAUAGGAAUCAACGUUCCAUCAGGGGUGUGCAGAUGUGCGCCGGUCUUACGCCCCAUUCUUGUCUACCUUACUCGGUUGCCUCGGCGGGCCGCGCUCUCCUGGGAGAGUCGUCCGGCGAGCCUCUUUGGGGGCUUUAGCUGGAUCGCGCCCGCCGGAGGACAGACAUCAAAAAAUCUUGGAAAGCUGUCAGUCUGAGCGUUAGCAAGUAAAAUUAGUUAAAACUUUCAACAACGGAUCUCUUGGUUCCGGCAUCGAUGAAGAACGCAGCGAAAUGCGAUAAGUAAUGUGAAUUGCAGAAUUCCGUGAAUCAUCGAAUCUUUGAACGCACAUUGCGCCCUCUGGUAUUCCGGGGGGCAUGCCUGUUCGAGCGUCAUUUCAACCCCUCAAGCCCGGCUUGUGUGAUGGACGACCGUCCGACCUCCUCUUUCGGGGGCGGGACGCGCCCGAAAAGCAGUGGCCAGGCCGCGAUCCCGGCUUCCUGGGCGAAUGGGCAGUCAAACCAGCGCCCUCAGGACCGGCCGCUCUGGCCUUCCCCCAAAUCUCUCUGAGAUAUUUUUUCAGGUUGACCUCGGAUCAGGUAGGGAUACCCGCUGAACUUAAGCAUAUCAAUAAGCGGAGGA